rnacentral:rRNA from 1 species
CCUACGGGAGGCAGCAGUGAGGAAUAUUGGUCAAUGGACGAGAGUCUGAACCAGCCAAGUAGCGUGAAGGAUGACUGCCCUAUGGGUUGUAAACUUCUUUUAUAUGGGAAUAAAAUGUUCCACGUGUGGGAUUUUGUAUGUACCAUAUGAAUAAGGAUCGGCUAACUCCGUGCCAGCAGCCGCGGUAAUACGGAGGAUCCGAGCGUUAUCCGGAUUUAUUGGGGUUAAAGGGAGCGUAGGUGGAUUGUUAAGUCAGUUGUGAAAGUUUGCGGCUCAACCGUAAAAUUGCAGUUGAAACUGGCAGUCUUGAGUACAGUAGAGGUGGGCGGAAUUCGUGGUGUAGCGGUGAAAUGCUUAGAUAUCACGAAGAACUCCGAUUGCGAAGGCAGCUCACUGGACUGCAACUGACACUGAGGCUCGAAAGCGUGGGUAGCAAACAGGAUUAGAUACCCCAGUAGUC